UGAGUAACCUGCCCUUAACUCUGGGAUAAGCCUGGGAAACUGGGUCUAAUACCGGAUAUGACUCCUCAUCGCAUGGUGGGGGGUGGAAAGCUUUUUGUGGUUUUGGAUGGACUCGCGGCCUAUCAGCUUGUUGGUGAGGUAAUGGCUCACCAAGACGACGACGGGUAGCCGGCCUGAGAGGGUGACCGGCCACACUGGGACUGAGACACGGCCCAGACUCCUACGGGAGGCAG
rnacentral:rRNA from 1 species